rnacentral:rRNA from 1 species
CAGCCGCCGCGGGAAUACGAGGGGGGCAAGCGUUGUUCGGAAUUAUUGGGCGUAAAGGGCGCGUAGGCGGUUUGGCAAGUUUGGUGUGAAAUCUUCGGGCUCAACUCGAAGUCUGCAUCGAAAACUGCCGGGCUUGAGUAUGGGGGAGGUGAGUGGAAUUUCCGGUGUAGCGGUGAAAUGCGUAGAUAUCGGAAGGAACACCUGUGGCGAAAGCGGCUCACUGGACCAUAACUGACGCUGAGGCGCGAAAGCUAGGGGAGCAAACAGGAUUAGAUACCCGUGUAGUCCCUGUCUCUUAUAC